rnacentral:rRNA from 1 species
UACGGGGGGGGCAAGCGUUGUUCGGAAUUACUGGGCGUAAAGGGUGCGUAGGCGGCUCUCUAAGUUGGAUGUGAAAACUCUGGGCUCAACCCAGAGCCUGCAUCCAAAACUGGAGAGCUAGGGUUCUGGAGGGGAAAGCGGAAUUCCUGGUGUAGCGGUGAAAUGCGUAGAUAUCUGGAGGAACACCGGUGGCGAAGGCGGCAUCCUGGACCGGUAUUGACGCUGAGGCGCGAAAGCCAGGGGAGCAAACGGG